CCUACGGGUGGCAGCAGUGAGGAAUAUUGGUCAAUGGGCGAGAGCCUGAACCAGCCAAGUCGCGUGAGGGAUGACGGUCCUAUGGAUUGUAAACCUCUUUUGUCGGGGAACAAAGGCGUCCACGUGUGGACUGAUGAGUGUACCCGAAGAAAAAGCAUCGGCUAACUCCGUGCCAGCAGCCGCGGUAAUACGGAGGAUGCGAGCGUUAUCCGGAUUUAUUGGGUUUAAAGGGUGCGUAGGCGGACAGUCAAGUCAGCGGUAAAAAUGCGGUGCUCAACGCCGUACAGCCGUUUAAACUGGCAGUCUUGAGUGGGCGAGAAGUAUGCGGAAUGCGUGGUGUAGCGGUGAAAUGCGUAGAUAUUAGGAAGAACACCAGUGGCGAAGGCAGCCUGCUGGGCUUUUACUGACGCUGAGGCUCGAAAGUGUGGGGAGCAAACAGGAUUAGAUACCCUUGUAGUC
rnacentral:rRNA from 1 species